rnacentral:hammerhead_ribozyme from 1 species
AUCCAGAUGACCAGUCCCAAAUAGGACGAAAGGCGCAUCCUGGCU